GUGCCAGCAGCCGCGGUAAUACGAGUGCCCCAAGCGUUAUCCGGAAUCAUUGGGCGUAAAGGGUGUGUAGGUGGUGUUGUUAGUCUUCUGUCAAAGCCUCGGGCUUAACCCGAGAUCUGCAGAGGAAACGGCAAUACUUGAGGAUGCGAGGGGUGAAUGGAACUCAUGGAGUAGGGGUGAAAUCCGUUGAUAUCAUGGGGAACACCAAAAGCGAAGGCAAUUCACUGGCGCAUUACUGACAUUGAAACACGAAAGCGUGGGUAGCGAACGGGAUUAGAUACCCCCGUAGUCC
rnacentral:rRNA from 1 species